rnacentral:rRNA from 1 species
AUGGCUCAGGAUGAACGCUGGCGGCGUGCCUAAUACAUGCAAGUGAAACGGGUAUCUUCGGAUACCAGUCGCGGACGGGUGAGUAAUACAUAGGCAACCUGCCUUUAUGAGGGGGGAUAACCGAGGGAAACUUUGGCUAAUACCGCAUGAAGACUCUAAGGCAUCUUAGAGGGAUAAAAGUUGGGAAACAACGCAUGAAGAUGGGCUUAUGGCGCAUUAGCUAGUUGGUGAGAUAGAAGCCCACCAAGGUAAUGAUGCGUAGCCGACCUGAGAGGGUGAACGGCCACAUUGGGACUGAGACACGGCCCAAACUCCUACGGGAGGCAGCAGUAGGGAAUUUUCGGCAAUGGGGGGAACCCUGACCGAGCAACGCCCGCGUGAAGGAAGAAGGUUUUCGGAUUGUAAACUUCUGUUAUAAGGGAAGAACGGAUUGGAUAGGGAAUGAUCUGAUAGUGACGGUACCUUAUUAGAAAGCCACGGCUAACUACGUGCCAGCCGCCGC